AUCAAACAAUUCUUUCUAUUGUACUAUCACAAGAUUUCUAAUAUUAGUAAUCAAUAUGAAUCAAGGUUUGAUUUUUAACAGUCUUGUUCUAUCACAAGAUAUGUGUUGCUCACACAAUUCUUUCAGAUCAGAUGAUAUUUGUAGUUACACCCAAAAUCCCACAUUUCCUUCACUUCACUUAUGGCUCUCGGCCCAGUUUCUCUUCAAUCCAUUCUAAGAACAGCGCCACUUCGCUAGCUUCGACACUCAAAUCCAUCUCGUCUUCCCCUUCGUUAAUCUCCCAUGGUCAGCAACUGCAUUGUUUCAUACUAAAAUCAGGCCUCAAUUUCGAUGUCUUCAUACAGAACAGCUUGAUCAACAUGUACUCCAAAACCGGGAUGUUUUCGUGCGCGAGAUCCAUUUUCGAAAGCUCCCCGACGCUGGACUGUGCCUCCUUCAACAUAAUAAUCUCAGGGUAUCUAAAAAACGGCCGUUUGGGAGAUGCCUACAAAUUGUUUGAGAAAAUGCCGCUCAGAGAUUGCAUCAGCUAUACGACCAUGAUUAUUGGGUUUGCUCAGAAUGAGUGCUAUGAGGAUGCGCUUGCCCUUUUUAGGGAGAUGAGACUGUUGGGAGUGGUUCCUAAUGAAGUGACGAUGCAGAGUGUGCUACCGGCUUAUGCGCGUGCUGAUGGAACUAGAAUCAAUGCAAUGCUUCUGCACGGCUUGGUGGCGAAGCUCGGUCUUGAUAUGUGUGUUAUUGUUUCGACUAAUUUAGUUCUUCUUUAUAGCGUUUCUUCGUCUCUUCAUGAUGCAAGAAUGAUCUUUGAUAAUAUGGUGGAUAGGAAUGUGGUGGCGUGGAAUGUGAUGUUGAAUGGUUAUGUAAAAGGAGGACUGGUUGAUUUGGCUAGAGACCUAUUUGAUGAGAUUCCAGGGAAGAGCACGUACUCUUGGAGCACUAUGAUUGGUGGAUAUCUACAGGUCGGGAGGUUGGUGGAGGCGUUGGCGCUCUAUUGCGAAAUGAGGCGCACCGACUCAAGACCUAAUGAAGUCAUGCUUAUUCACAUUGUCUCUACUUGUGCACAGGCAACUAGAUUGCUCGAGGGUCGACAGUGUCAUGCUUUGGCACUGAAGAUGGGGAUGAACUUCCAUGACUUCAUGCAGGCGACAUUGAUUCAUUUAUAUGCUGCGUGUCAGCAGGUCGAACUUGCUUAUUUGCUAUUUCAGGAAGGAACUAAGGAUGAUAUACCUUGUUGGAAUGCCCUUAUUGCAGGGCUAAUGAGGAACGGCAUAGUAAAUGAAGCUGCACGUUUGUUUAGUAUAAUGCCACAGCGAAAUGUUCUCUCUUGGAGCUCGAUGAUUUCUGGUUAUGCACAGAACGGGAAGCAUAGACUGGCCAUUGAAGUUUUUCAUGAAAUGGUUGGUAAAGGGUUUAAGCCAGACGAAACCACGAUGGUGAGUGUUUUCUCAGCGAUCUCUGGCUUGUGCGCAUUGAAGGAGGGGAGAUGGGCUCAUCAGUUCAUCCGUUGCAACUCAAUACCAAUCAACGACAAAUUGAGUACAGCCAUCAUUGGUAUGUAUGCCAAAUGUGGGAGCAUUGAUUCCGCUCUAGAAGUAUUUGAUCAAAUCCGAGAUAAGGCCAGAAUAGUCAAUCCUUGGAAUGCAAUUAUAUAUGGCUUGGCCAUGCACGGGAAAGCAGAGGCAUCCCUGAGGAUUUUUGCAGACUUGCAGAGUCGGAAGAUAAAGCCUGAUUCAAUCACAUUAUAUGGAAUUUUGAGUGCUUGUUGUCAUGCCGGUUUGGUGGAAGAAGGGAAAAGCCAUUUUAGGAGCAUGACAGCGGAGUAUGGUUUAGAGCCUAAUCAUAAGCAUUAUAGAUGUAUGGUGGAUCUGUUAGGCCGAGCGGGGAGGCUGAACGAAGCAGAAGAGCUUGUGCAAAACAUGCCUAUGGAGGCGGAUGCUGUCACUUGGAGCACGCUGUUAGCAGCAUGCAAAAUGUACGAGAACAUAGAUGUAGGAGAAAGAGCUGCUCGAAACCUGGCUAGAGUGGAACCAUCAUAUGGGCCGGGUAGAAUUGCGCUGUCUAACCUUUAUGCAGAUGCAGGCAGGUGGAACGAUGCAUUCCUUGUGCGGAGAGCAAUGCAUAACGAAAACCUUGCGCGAUCACUGGAUUGUGGUGUUUCACGUUUGUGUAAUGCCUUAGAUCUAACAUAACUGAUUUGAUGAGAUAUUUCAGGUGCACUGAUCGGAAUGAGAGAAAAGCUAUAAAAACUGGCAUCAUUCUUGACAUCCAAGAGAAAAGCAACUGUCAGCACACUCUCUUACAUGUUACAACCAACAGACUAUAGAAGCAAUGCU